ACGGCUCAGUAACACGUGGAUAACCUGCCCUUGGGUCCGGCAUAACCCCGGGAAACUGGGGAUAAUUCCGGAUAACGCACAUAUGCUGGAAUGCUUUAUGCGUAAAAUGGAUUCGUCUGCCCAAGGAUGGGUCUGCGGCCUAUCAGGUAGUAGUGGGUGUAAUGUACCUACUAGCCAACAACGGGUACGGGUUGUGAGAGCAAGAGCCCGGAGAUGGAUUCUGAGACAUGAAUCCAGGCCCUACGGGGCGCAGCAGGCGCGAAAACUUUACAAUGCGGGAAACCGUGAUAAGGGGACACCGAGUGCCAGCAUCAUAUGCUGGCUGUCCGGGUGUGUAAAAUACACCCGUUAGCAAGGGCCGGGCAAGACCGGUGCCAGCCGCCGCGGUAACACCGGCGGCCCGAGUGGUGAUCGUGAUUAUUGGGUCUAAAGGGUCCGUAGCCGGUUUGGUCAGUCCUCCGGGAAAUCUGACGGCUCAACCGUUAGGCUUUCGGGGGAUACUGCCAGGCUUGGAACCGGGAGAGGUAAGAGGUACUACAGGGGUAGGAGUGAAAUCUUGUAAUCCCUGUGAGACCACCUGUGGCGAAGGCGUCUUACCAGAACGGGUUCGACGGUGAGGGACGAAAGCUGGGGGCACGAACCGGAUUAGAUACCCGGGUAGUCCCAGCCGUAAACGAUGCUCGCUAGGUGUCAGGCAUGGCGCGACCGUGUCUGGUGCCGCAGGGAAGCCGUGAAGCGAGCCACCUGGGAAGUACGGCCGCAAGGCUGAAACUUAAAGGAAUUGGCGGGGGAG
rnacentral:rRNA from 1 species